UACAGAGGUGGCAAGCGUUGUUCGGAAUUACUGGGCGUAAAGGGCGCGUAGGCGGCCAUCUAAGUCAGACGUGAAAUCCCCCGGCUUAACCUGGGAACUGCGUCUGAUACUGGACGGCUGGAGUUUGGGAGAGGGAUGUAGAAUUCCAGGUGUAGCGGUGAAAUGCGUAGAUAUCUGGAGGAAUACCGGUGGCGAAGGCGGCAUCCUGGACCAAUACUGACGCUGAGGCGCGAAAGCUAGGGGAGCAAACGGGG
rnacentral:rRNA from 1 species